rnacentral:rRNA from 2 species
CAGUCGAACGAACUCUGGUAUUGAUUGGUGCUUGCAUCAUGAUUUACAUUUGAGUGAGUGGCGAACUGGUGAGUAACACGUGGGAAACCUGCCCAGAAGCGGGGGAUAACACCUGGAAACAGAUGCUAAUACCGCAUAACAACUUGGACCGCAUGGUCCGAGCUUGAAAGAUGGCUUCGGCUAUCACUUUUGGAUGGUCCCGCGGCGUAUUAGCUAGAUGGUGGGGUAACGGCUCACCAUGGCAAUGAUACGUAGCCGACCUGAGAGGGUAAUCGGCCACAUUGGGACUGAGACACGGCCCAAACUCCUACGGGAGGCAGCAGUAGGGAAUCUUCCACAAUGGACGAAAGUCUGAUGGAGCAACGCCGCGUGAGUGAAGAAGGGUUUCGGCUCGUAAAACUCUGUUGUUAAAGAAGAACAUAUCUGAGAGUAACUGUUCAGGUAUUGACGGUAUUUAACCAGAAAGCCACGGCUAACUACGUGCCAGCAGCCGCGGUAAUACGUAGGUGGCAAGCGUUGUCCGGAUUUAUUGGGCGUAAAGCGAGCGCAGGCGGUUUUUUAAGUCUGAUGUGAAAGCCUUCGGCUCAACCGAAGAAGUGCAUCGGAAACUGGGAAACUUGAGUGCAGAAGAGGACAGUGGAACUCCAUGUGUAGCGGUGAAAUGCGUAGAUAUAUGGAAGAACACCAGUGGCGAAGGCGGCUGUCUGGUCUGUAACUGACGCUGAGGCUCGAAAGUAUGGGUAGCAAACAGGAUUAGAUACCCUGGUAGUCCAUACCGUAAACGAUGAAUGCUAAGUGUUGGAGGGUUUCCGCCCUUCAGUGCUGCAGCUAACGCAUUAAGCAUUCCGCCUGGGGAGUACGGCCGCAAGGCUGAAACUCAAAGGAAUUGACGGGGGCCCGCACAAGCGGUGGAGCAUGUGGUUUAAUUCGAAGCUACGCGAAGAACCUUACCAGGUCUUGACAUACUAUGCAAAUCUAAGAGAUUAGACGUUCCCUUCGGGGACAUGGAUACAGGUGGUGCAUGGUUGUCGUCAGCUCGUGUCGUGAGAUGUUGGGUUAAGUCCCGCAACGAGCGCAACCCUUAUUAUCAGUUGCCAGCAUUAAGUUGGGCACUCUGGUGAGACUGCCGGUGACAAACCGGAGGAAGGUGGGGAUGACGUCAAAUCAUCAUGCCCCUUAUGACCUGGGCUACACACGUGCUACAAUGGAUGGUACAACGAGUUGCGAACUCGCGAGAGUAAGCUAAUCUCUUAAAGCCAUUCUCAGUUCGGAUUGUAGGCUGCAACUCGCCUACAUGAAGUCGGAAUCGCUAGUAAUCGCGGAUCAGCAUGCCGCGGUGAAUACGUUCCCGGGCCUUGUACACACCGCCCGUCACACCAUGAGAGUUUGUAACACCCAAAGUCGGUGGGGUAACCUUUUAGAACCAGC